GACGAUGUAGUUUAAAUUAAAAUAUGUGCUCUGCACGCACGGGAUGGUAUUUAUCCCAUUGUUG
rnacentral:tRNA from 1 species